rnacentral:rRNA from 1 species
AUUGAACGCUGGCGGCAGGCCUAACACAUGAAAGUCGGGAGAGCGGCGGACGGGUGAGUAAUGUAUGGGAAACUGCAUGAUGGAGGGGGAUAACUACUGGAAACGGUAGCUAAUACCGCAUCCCAUAAGAUGCGCCCAUAUGGGAUUAGCUGGUUGGUAGGGUAACGGCUCACAAAGGCGACGAUCCCUAGCUGGUCUGAGAGGAUGAUCAGCCACACUGGGACUGAGACACGGCCCAGACUCCUACGGGAGGCAGCAGUGGGGAAUAUUGCACAAGGGGCGCAAGCCUGAUGCAGCCAUGCCGCGUGUAUGAAGAAGGCCUUCGGGUUGUAAAGUACUUUCAGUCGGGAGGCGUUACCGACAGAAGAAGCACCGGCUAACUCCGUGCCAGCAGCCGCGGUAAUAC